rnacentral:rRNA from 1 species
CCCCUAGACGUUCUGGGCUGCACGCGCGCUACAAUAAUACGCACAGCGAGUAUCACCGAGCUCGAAAGGGCAAGGUAAACAAUAGAAAAGGUACUGUAAUGGUUAUAGAUCCUUGUAAUUAUUGAUCUUCAACGAGGAAUUCCUAGUAAGUAUGUGUCAUCAUCACGCACUGAUUACGUCCCUGCCCUUUGUACACACCGCCCGUCGCUCCUACCGAUUGAGUGAGCCGAUGAAACUGCCGGAUGUGGACUAUUCAUAGUCUGCAGAAGAUAUUUGAAUCGUAGCGCUUAGAGGAAGGAGGAGUCGUAACA